rnacentral:rRNA from 1 species
AUGAAGGGACAGUACACAUCAAAAUCUGCAGGCCAACUUACAAAAGAAGCUAGAGAAGCUAUUAUCAGGAGGAAACAACAACUCCAAGAAAAAAGGAGUAAGAGAUGCAGGAAUACACACGAAACAACCAAUAAAAAAGAAGAAGAUGCUUCACGGAAGAGAAAGGAACAAAUCAAAGAAAGAACAAAUGUGAAGCGUGCAAGAACAAGUGGGAGCGACAAUGACCUUGGAACCAACAUCAAAGAAACAAACAGCAGCACUACGUCCAAGAGUUAUUAUAGCAAAAUAUGGAACUUUGGAAAGCCAACAUAUAGAUGUGAACAUUGCAAUGCAAUACUAUGGUGUGAAGAAAGAUUAAAUUCUCAUAGAGGAACCAAAAAACCUUCUUUCAGAAUUUGCUGCAAACAAGGUAAGAUUGACCUACCAAAGAUGGCACACCCUCCACCUUACCUCGCAGGAUUUUUAACAGGUGAAGGAAGUGAUGCAACAAACUUCAGAGAAAAUAUCAGGUCAUACAACUCAAUGUUCUCAUUCACAUCAAUGGGAGGAGCUGUUGACAAAGAAAUAAACAAAGGCAAAGGACCAUAUGUUUUUAGACUGCAUGGACAAAACUAUCACCAUAUUGGAACUCUUCUACCUGAAGAAGACCCUGCCAUUGUCAAAGAACUACAAAAAAUGCUUGAUGAGAACAACAUCCUCGCAAAAUCUUUCAGAAUGGCAAGAGAUAGAUUCAAAGAAGAAGACUACCAUGAUUACACACUUAGAAUACUUGGGAAAAGGAACGGAAGACACAACCUUCCAUCUGCAUCGGAAGUUGCAGCAUUGGUUGUAAGAGACCCAACUGGAGAGAGCGAAGGACGAUAUAUCAUUGUCGAGUACAAAAAUAUGGAGCCUCACAGAAUAUCAGAAAUCCAUCCAAAAUUAAUGUCCAUGCAAUACCCAUUGUUGUUUCCAUACGGAGAAGACGGCUUCAAGCUUGAAAUACCUUACAAGGGAACAAAAGAAGGUGACAAAAGCAGGAAAUAUGUAACUAUGCUGGACUACUACGCAUACUACCUACAGCAAAGACCCGACCAAGGAAUGUCGCUGCUAACGUCUAGACAUCUAUCUCUGCAAUUUUGGGUAGAUGUUUACACAUGCAUUGAGCAAAACAGACUAAAUUGGAUCAGGAAUAAUCAAGGGAAGCUACGGACUGAACUUUACAGUGGACUGCAGGACGCGAUUGAGCGAGGGGACACCAGAACAGAGUAG